ensembl:lncRNA
CCUCGCAGGCCCGGUAAGUGCCCGCCGGGCGGCCCCGGUCCUCGCGUCUCCAGGCGGGGCAGGCGCGUUGGCGUCCGACCCGCGGCUUCUUGCGUGAGGACCGGCUGCCCACGUUCCUCAGUUUCCCCGCCCAGGGGCGCCCUGACCGCUGAGUCCAGGGAGCGGGCUGACCUGCGCUGACCGCCUUUGCCGGUAGCUCGGUUUCUUUGGGGUCCCGGGUUGCGGGCGGCCGGGCGCGUGGUGGACAGGGGGCAGAGGGCACCGCCUGGGUCUCACGCCCUCCCGGAAGGGGCCGAGGUUCCGGGAGUUCCCUCCGCUCAGCUGGAGGGGCCGAAGGAAUCCCCCCGGAUCGGGGUGCGUAGAGGGGCCGCGGAACCGGCGUGGCUGGAGGGCCGAGCCCCAAACUCUGGCCCGGCAGUUGCCUGCGAUCCCCCGGCGGGCGGCCCCCAGCAGACCUGAGAAGGGAAGGGGCUGGCGGCCUCCAACCCUCCGUGUGGCAGCCCCUGGGCUCUGGCAGUGGGAUGUACUAGUGAAGCCAUCCCGGAGGGUCUCUUCCUGGGACGGAGACAGACUGUCCAGGUUGCUCGCGGUUUCUCAGGUGGGUUUCGUGGGCUUUAGGAAAUUGAUCGGUUGCUUCUGCACGUUUACUUCGCAGUGUGGGGGCAGCACGAGUUCUGUGUUGGUGCUCCUGGGCUGCGUGGCAAGUCCCGCAGGCUGACUGUCAAGGAAUGGACGUGUUCUCACGGUUCUGGGCCUGGGAGGUGGGGUCGGGGUGCUGGCGGGGGCGGGCUGUCUUGCCGGCUGGCAGACGGUCCAGGGCCCUGCUGUCUCUUCCUGUGACGGUGUGGGUUGUAUCAGGCGAACCCCGGGCACCUCCUCCGUGGAGGCCGGGGCGGGGCUUAGGUCAGCCCUCAGCAGCAUCCCCUUGCUUGCCUCCUCACGCCUGCGGCACGUGCGGCGGUGCGGCGCCCUCUUAUUCCUGAUUUGGGCAACUCGCGUCUCCUCCAUUUCUUGGCUGGUGUUGGCUAGGGGUUUAUCAAUGUUGCGGAUCCUUUCAAAGAGGCAGCUUUUGGUUUCAUUGAUUUUUCCCUACAAUUUUAUGCUUUAGAUUUUGUACUUCUCAUUAUUUCUCUGCUUCUGCCUGACUCUUGGUUCCACGAGGUCUACUUUUCCUACGUGAACACUCAGUGCUGUCAGUUUCCGCAGAGUCCUGUUUAGUUGAAUCCCACAAAGUCUGAUGUGUUUGCAUUUUCAUUUUCCUACAAUUAAAAUAUUUUAAAAAUUUCUUUGAGACUUUUCUCUUUGAGCCACGGUUAUGUACAAGUAAGUGGCUUUCCAAAUAUUUGGAGUUUUUCCAGAUAUCCUUAUAGUUUAAUUCCUUUGUGUCGGAGAACAUGCUUUGUCUGAGUUCUGUUUUUUGAAGGUUUGUGAGGAGUGUUCUGAGCUGCAGGGCGUGGUCUCCCGGUGAGUGUUCCCCCUGCAGGGGGAGGGGGUGUUCUGAGCUGCAGGCCGUGGUCUCCCUGUGAGUGUUCCCCCUACAGGGGGAGGGGUUCUGCAGGGCGUGGUCUCCCUGUGAGUGUUCCCCCUACAGGGGGAGGGGUUCUGCAGGGCGUGGUCUCCCUGUGAGUGUUCCCCCUGCAGGGGGAGGGGUUCUGCAGGGCGUGGUCUCCCUGUGAGUGUUCCCCCUGCAGGGGGAGGGGUUCUGCAGGGCGUGGUCU